CCUACUGGGGGCAGCAGUGAGGAAUAUUGGUCAAUGGGCGCAAGCCUGAACCAGCCAUCCCGCGUGAAGGAAGAAGGCGCUAUGCGUCGUAAACUUCUUUUCCAGGGGGAGAAUUUUCCGGUCGUGACCGGAAUUGACGGUACCCUGGGAAUAAGCAUCGGCUAACUCCGUGCCAGCAGCCGCGGUAAUACGGAGGAUGCGAGCGUUAUCCGGAUUUAUUGGGUUUAAAGGGUGCGUAGGCGGAUCAAUAAGUCAGUGGUGAAAUUCUGCAGCUUAACUGUAGACUUGCCAUUGAUACUGUUGGUCUUGAGUAUGGUCGAGGUAGGCGGAAUGUGUAGUGUAGCGGUGAAAUGCGUAGAUAUUAGGCAGAACACCGAUUGCGAAGGCAGCUUGCUGGGCCAAUACUGACGCUGAUGCACGAAAGCGUGGGGAUCGAACA
rnacentral:rRNA from 1 species